AUUGAACGCUGGCGGCAGGCUUAACACAUGCAAGUCGAGCGGAGAGAGGUAGCUUGCUACUGAUCUUAGCGGCGGACGGGUGAGUAAUGCUUAGGAAUCUGCCUAUUAGUGGGGGACAACAUUUCGAGGGGAAUGCUAAUACCGCAUACGUCCUACGGGAGAAAGCAGGGGAUCUUCGGACCUUGCGCUAAUAGAGGAGCCUAAGUCGGAUUAGCUAGGUGGUGGGGUAAAGGCCUACCAAGGCGACGAUCUGUAGCGGGUCUGAGAGGAUGAUCCGCCACACUGGGACUGAGACACGGCCCAGACUCCUACGGGAGGCAGCAGUGGGGAAUAUUGGACAAUGGGCGCAAGCCUGAUCCAGCCAUGCCGCGUGUGUGAAGAAGGCCUUAUGGUUGUAAAGCACUUUAAGCGAGGAGGAGGCUACUUUAGUUAAUACCUAGAGAUAGUGGACGUUACUCGCAGAAUAAGCACCGGCUAACUCUGUGCCAGCCGCCGCAGUAA
rnacentral:rRNA from 1 species